GACAGAGGAGCCAAGCGUUGUCCGGAUUGACUGGGCGUAAAGCGCACGCAGGCGGAUGCGCGCGUGGGGUGUGAAAUCUGGCCGCUUAACGGCCAGGCGCCAUCCCAUACGGCGCGUCUGGAGUGAUGCAGAGGUCGAUGGAAUUGCCGGUGUAGUGGUGAAAUGCGUAGAUAUCGGGAGGAACACCAGUGGCGAAGGCGACUACCUGGCCUGUUCUUGACGCUGAGGCGCGAAAGCUAGGGGAGCAAACAGG
rnacentral:rRNA from 1 species